rnacentral:rRNA from 1 species
AUUGAACGCUGGCGGCAGGCCUAACACAUGCAAGUCGAACGAGUGGCGGACGUGUGAGUAAUGUCUGGGAAACUGCCUGAUAGCGGGGGAUAACUACUGGAAACGGUAGCUAAUACCGCAUACCAUCAGAUGUGCCCAUAUGGGAUUAGCUAGUUGGUGGGGUAAAGGCUCACCAAGGCGAAGAUCCCUAGCUGGUCUGAGAGGAUGACCAGCCACACUGGAACUGAGACACGGUCCAGACUCCUACGGGAGGCAGCAGUGGGGAAUAUUGCACAAUGGGCGCAAGCCUGAUGCAGCCAUGCCGCGUGUAUGAAGAAGGCCUUAGGGUUGUAAAGUACUUUCAGCGGGGAGGCGUUACCCGCAGAAGAAGCACCGGCUAACUCCGUGCCAGCAGCCGCGGUAAUUC